rnacentral:lncRNA from 1 species
GUUUUGUAUUUUUAACAAUAAUAAUUAACAGGAAACAAUCUAAAAUCAAUACUUACUCAAGUAAGUAUUUACUGUGGUUUACAAUUCCUCUCCAAAUCCUCUAUUUCUAAGGCCAGUGAUAGUAACUUUAGAAAGCGAUUGUUGAUUGGAGAUCUGAACAACUCUACUGCUCUUGAAUUCUAGGAUAAAGCAACAUAUAUUUUAUGUCAAGCUGGCUGUUCUGCACAGCAACUAUCAUGGAGUUAAUUUUUAUUUUGAAAUUUUAAUUAUAUCUGCAGAUGUACUGUGCAAUAGGCUGCUCUGUUUGAAGCAGGAGUUUUCUCCUCGUUCAUAGAAUUAUUUUUGUGUCAUAACAGGGGAAAAAUGCCAUUGAUACCUAAUCUUCCCCUUGGUGUUCUGUAAAGAUUAUAUGAACAUCUGAAAAUACAUAGGGAAUGAAACCUGAAACAUUUUCUUUGACAGCACAGUAAGAAACACACCGUUGUCAUAAAAAGGUGUUUAAAAGGACUGGAAAUCAGGAAGAGCUCUUGCUCUGAGGGCUCUGGACUGACUGCAACAGUCUCUGCAAGCCAGCUCAGGUAUGGAAAGGAGUCUACCCAAGUCAGCAUGAAACUCCACACUCUUUUAUUUAACAUGGACAGAAAGCUUUUCAGUUUUUUCUCAGAGUACUUGCCUUGACAGUUCCUUAAUAUUUUGCUUUUAAUGCACUGGUUUUUUUAGGAAAAAAACUAGUCAGUUAAUGAAGUUAUUAAUGAAACCAGAAGAUACACUUUUUCUGUCUAAUCUAUAUUAGUGCAAGAUUAAAAUCUCAACAGUAUGUCAAGACUGCAGUGACUAUCCAUCAAAGCAUUUUGUUUUGUGUUGAAGCAGCACUAGAGGUUUGAAGUGAUCCCAUUUCUGAUUUGUCAUUUGAAUCUGCAGACCCCUUUUGGUGGAUGCACACUGGUUUCUUUUCAGAAGACAGUAAGACAGAGUCUCCACUCCAGGUGCACAUCAGCUUUUUAGUGCUGGAUGUUUUGUCAGCAAUGGCUCUGGGAUCUGAACAGCUGCAAGAUGGUCUUAAGAACUGCUGAAGUCUUUACACAAGACUUCACUGCAGCCUGAACUGGCUGCCUGUAAAAGCAGAGCACCCUGCAAAACUU